UGGUUCUGGCAUCGAUGAAGAACGCAGCGAAAUGCGAUAAGUAAUGUGAAUUGCAGAACUCAGUGAAUCAUCGAAUCUUUGAACGCACCUUGCGCUCCUUGGUAUUCCGAGGAGCAUGCCUGUUUGAGUGUCAUUAAAUUAUCAACCUCUUCAAGAGGCUUGGAUUUGGAGUGUUGCUGGCUUGUUGUUGGCUCCUCUUAAAUGAAUUAAGCUUGUGUGUAGGCUUUGGUUUGAUAAUAUCUAUGCCAUCGCUGUAAUGCAAAACAACCUUGAAAUUUGACCUCAAAUCAGGUAGGACUACCCGCUGA
rnacentral:misc_RNA from 1 species